CUAGAAAGGGACGUCUCUAAUGUUUUCUAGGCAAACAGGGUGUGCUUGUCGAAGAGAUAUUCUGCCGAGCCAGAUUCGGGCGCUCCCAUCUUGCGCAAGUUGGUCACGUGGUCACUCAAUUCUUUGAUGGCUUUCACCUGCUCAUUCAGGGCACUAAUAUACACAUGAUGAUACUUAAUUCUCUCAGAAAACCUUUGGCAAAGACACUUUCUACAUCUUGAAGGCAAGGAAUCUGAAUCUUGAAGAGAUUAAAUGAAUUGUCCAAAGUCACGUGGGGGUUUGGGAGAAGGAAAAUCAUGAACACACAUUCUUCUACUCUGGAGAAGUGGGGAAGGUGACCUGGGAAACCAUCUGAAAGGGAGCAGGAUGGAUUCUAUAAAAUAUAGAGUGUUCAAUGAAAACAACCUGAUGCUCCUCCCAGUACCAUCACAUUUUUCUAGCUGCAUAUCCUUAGGAACCACAUUCUACUUGUGUAGGAGCUGCGACAGUAACCAACUCAUCCUGCCCUACUCACAGUAUAGCAUCUUUAGGCAUUGACUACAAUCAGCCAAGUCACCGGCUGAGGGGAAGAACAAGAACCAACCUUGAACUAUGAUCUAAGACAAGGUGUCCAAUCUUUUGGCUUCCCUGGGCCCCAUUGAAAGAAGAAUUGUCUCGGGCUACAUAUAAAAUACACCAACACUAACGAUAACUGAUGAGCUUAAAAAAAAAAUCACAAACACACAAAUCUCAUAAGGUUCUAAGAAAGUUUACGAAUUUGUGUUGGGCGGCAUUCAAAGCCAUGCUAGGUCGUGUGUGGCCCAGGUGGGCCACAGGUUGAACAAGCUUGAUCUAAGAUAAAGUGGUUCUGACCUUCAGCCUAAAUUCCUCUCACUAGCAUUCGAGAUGGAAUGAGGUCAGGGCACACACUUUCAUGUUUUCUUGCUACAAAUUACUUGGAUGAGAAAUUUCCCUCUGAAAAUACUAAAAAAGUGAAGAGGAAAACAGCUACUUCACCCUUAAUUCUGACCAAGAAGGGAAAAUUGUGAACUAAAAGGCAGCCACAUGUUCCUUGGGAAAGAAACAAUCACAUGAUCUUCGUUUAAUUAGCCAGAUAAUAAAACCACGGAUUUGUUAGUCAAAAUAUAUUUGACUAUUCUGUGCCAGACAUUGUUCUAGGCACAGGAGAGAACAAGACAAAGACCCAUAGCCUCGGAUUGCUGACAUUUCUAUGUACAGAGAAAAAUAGACAAAUAAACAUUAAGAUUUCAACAUUUAUCCUAGAGUUUAGAAAAUCUAACUUUAAUUGUUUUUAGAAAUUUUUAAAAUCUAAAGUCCUAAUACCAGACAAAUGGUUCCAAUUUUUCUUUUUGAUUUUUAAAAAAUUUACAAUAAGAUACUUUGAAAAUGGAAACCUGGUUUUAAAGUGAAAAUGUAUUCAGUGACUAAUGAAAUUUCCAUGGGAACAGUGGAAAGAAUACUGUCACAAAGGAUAGUUGCCAUCUUUUGAUGGUUAUUUAAAGUCUUGGAUAUGUUAGAAAAUGUAUCGCAAUUUUAAAAUCAGUAUUCUUUGUUACUUUGUAUCAAUUCAAUUAAGGCAACAUCCUAUUCCAUAGUGAAAAUAUAGCUAUUCUGUUAAACUCCAGCUUGGAAUACAUUUUAAAGUGCAUUCUUAAUAAAAAAUUUUAAAUAGGAGAACAUGGAACAAAAUUAAAAGUAUUCAGGAAAAUAAUUUUAUACCUAGAGACACUAGAGAAGAAGGUUAACUCAAGAGUGACCAAAGACUUUAGAUGUUCUAGUAUUUUUUUUUCUUUUUAGAAAUUAGACAAAUUUAAUUUGUGGAAAAUUGCUAGAAUGAAUUCAUGAAUAUAGUUUGCGAGCAUGUAGGAAAUGAAAUGGUGAUUUUUAGGGGAUCAUGGGUAUCUUGGUAACAGAUCAUGCUUUUUUAAUGAGCAGAACAAAAUGUGCCACAAACACAGUGCCUUGGUAUUUGUAAAUCAUUUUCCAAAAUUUUUCACAAUAUCUAUAUAAAUAAGAUUUUUAAAAUUGUAUGUAUAACACUAUAGUUGGCAAGUUUCAUUCCUGGUUCCACAAUAACACUGAUUAGUGGUUGGAUGGAAAGCCGGCAGGAAUGUGUUGUGUCUGUUCCUGUUUAACAUUUCUGUAAGUGAUUUGGUGAGGAUACAGAAGGCAUGUUAUUGAAUGUGUAGAUGGACAAAGUUUAGGGUAAAAGUUAAUGUGUUUGAAAAAAGAGGUUAUAUUAAAAAUACCUUCAUUGACUGGAACAAUUGGAAAGGACAUACUUGUCUGCCUACAGGGACAGAAAACUCAUUACCAUGGUGGCUUUUUCAUUGGGUUUGCUAGGGCCAGAAUCCAGAACUCAUUGAGUACUUCUUCUUAUAGCAUAUAUAGCAAUUCAUUAACAUUGGGGAAUAAUAAUAAUACAAUAGUCAUUGUCCAGAAAGGACUAACUUUAAUGGUAAAAG
rnacentral:lncRNA from 10 species